UACGGAGGGUGCAAGCGUUGUUCGGAAUUACUGGGCGUAAAGGGCGUGUAGGUGGUAGGGUGUGUCAGAUGUGAAAGCCCUGGGCUCAACCCAGGAAGUGCAUUUGAAACUACUCUACUUGAGUAUGGGAGAGGAGAGUGGAAUUCCCAGUGUAGAGGUGAAAUUCGUAGAUAUUGGGAGGAACACCCGUGGCGAAGGCGGCUCUCUGGACCAAUACUGACACUGAGAAGCGAAAGCGUGGGGAGCAAACAGG
rnacentral:rRNA from 1 species